UACCAGCACCCCGAGCGGUCGGGACGUUUAUUGGGCCUAAAGCAUCCGUAGCCGGUUCUACAAGUCUUCCGUUAAAUCCAGCUGCUUAACAGAUGGGCUGCAGAAGAUACUAUGGAGCUAGGAGGCGGGAGAGGCAAGCGGUACUCGAUGGGUAGGGGUAAAAUCCGUUGAUCCAUUGAAGACCACCAGUGGCGAAGGCGGCUUGCCAGAACGCGCUCGACGGUGAGGGAUGAAAGCUGGGGGGGCAAACCGG
rnacentral:rRNA from 1 species